GGGCCUGUAGUCUAGUGGUUAUGACGUCGCCCUUACAAGGCGGAGGUCCCCGGUUCGAGUCCGGGCGGGCCCA
rnacentral:tRNA from 1 species